AAUUAAAAGAAAACUCUUCACUUCUCCAGAACCUUCAUACACUACCAUUUCCCAGGAACCCUAGUUUCCCUUCCAGUAAUUUAUCUCUUUUCACUAUUCUUCAAAUCACUGUGUUUCAUCCUGUCGCAAGUUCUCUUUCAAUUUCUCUGUUAUCAAAUCACUGAAUUUCACUGGUUGAAGAAGCUAUACGGAUAGAGUUUCGUCUUCUCAAAGAAUUUUCAUCCUCACAAUUGCUGGUGUUUAAUUAAGCGCCUCUGAAUUGAAGUUGCGAGACCCAUUUCUCUUGAUAUUACUGAUAAAGAGAGAAACCAUAUUUUACUUUGAAGCUUUUCAGACAUUCCGAUAUUGUUAAAAAUUUCAAGAGAGCAUCAGGUUUAUAUUAAUAGUCAACGAAAAGGAAACAAAUGGGCUCGUGCACAACAUCAUAGCCAUGAGUUUGCUAAUUGGUUGAGAGAAAAGACAAUCAAGGAAAAUGUUCCUGAUCAUAUUUUCUGGUUAGCGAAGGGGCCUAGUCCUACUGCUAAAAGAUACAAAGGAUAUUAUGUCAAUGGUUAUAAUUUUUACACCAAAUCACGUGAUGCUAGAUGUAAGACACAAAAUAGUGGAGUUAUUCUUUCAGCUUCAACUCCUAGUUUUGCAAGCUCUAGAGAUAAAUAUCCUAUCAUAGGAGAGGUGACCUAUUAUGGUGCAAUAUUAGAAAUAAUUGAACUUGAUUAUUGGUCCAAGUUCAAGGUUGUUUUGUUUAAGUGUGAGUGGUAUCAAGUGGAAAAAGAUAACAAGUGUGGGCUUACCUGUGUUAAUGUAAAUAAGUUUUGUUCUAUGAAUGAUCCUUAUGUCAUGCCAUCCCAAGUACAUCAAGUCUUUUAUAUUCCAGAUGGGGAUGUACCUGGCCUGCAUUAUGUUAUGAGCAAAGUUCCAAGAGAUACAUAUGAUUUUGAUGAUAGUGUAAAUGAUGUGAACUCUUUUUUGGCACAAGUUGAUGACGAGGACAUUAGUUGGGCUAGGGAAGACAUACCUCCUACAAUGGUUGAUGCAAGUACAAAUCUAGGUGAUAACGUAGGUGGUAAAAGUGAAGAUGAUUCGGAUUUUGAUGACACUUUGUGGGACUGGAUGCAAGCAGAGGAAGAUUUCGAAAUUUACAAUGAUGAAUGAUGCAUUGAUACAGUCAAGAUUUGUUUGAGAACUUGUGAGAUUUUUGUUCUAGUCGUUGCAACUUUGUUCAAACACUUCUAAUCAAAUUAUGGUUAUCGAUGGGAAAAAUAAGGAAAGAGCAAUGUGGAGAAUCCUGUAAUGAGUAUGAAAGAAUGAGAAUACUAAGAAUUCAAGAGAACAGAUUAAGGUUACAAAAGUCAGGUAUAAAGGAAAUUUGUAAGUCAUUGACGAACCUUGUGGAUAGCAAAAAAAAAGGGAGUGAGGAAAAAAGUAAGAAAGUGGCUUCUAUUACGAAGAGAGAUCCAGAGUACUGUCCAUAUGGUAAUGAUGAAUCCAAUGAUGAAGAAGAUACAAGUGUUGGAACUUUUCAAAAGAUUACUCGAGGCAAUGGUCGAGGGAGUAAAUUACAAUUUAUUCCACCAGGGUCCAUGAAGAAUUUUGCUUCUAGUAUAAAGCAACGAGAUCGUAAUAUUCAGAACUUAUUAUCCAGAAGGAUGCAAAAUGACCAAGAAGGACAAUUUAUUAGAGAAAACGUUGCUAAAAAAAGACAUGGACUUUAGCUGAUGCCAUUUUAUAGAAAAAAGCAGCACAAAAAGAAGGUCAAGCAGUCCAACACAUUGAAAUGUAAUCACAACUAUCAAGACGGGAAAAAUUAGGCGGUCAAGAUGCAGAUCCUCAUACUAGGCUUGGUGAUCAUGGAGAAGAUUACAUACUUGAUGACAUUCCUUAUAACUAUGAGGAAGAUGAAAACGAGAAUGAACAAUUACUUGGAUAUGGUGAUGAGUUCGUUGAGAGUGAAAAUGAAAGUGAGAAUGUGGGAUUAGAGAGUAGAGAUUUAGAGAUGGAGGUGAAUCCCGAAGAGAAAAAAAGAGGGCCCACAAUGAUGCAUCACGUGCACACACGUCCAUUUGAGAAACGGAAGGCUAUUGUUUUAAAUGAUCUUGGACAACCCAUUGGGCCAGUAUCCGAGGACGAUGACGUUGUUGGAGAAUUUUCUCGUUUUUUAGGUACAAUAGCUCGUGAUAAUUCAUAUGCUCCACUAACUUUUAAAACUUGGUCUAAAGUUCCUAACAAAGAAAAGAUGUGGGAAUAUGUGUUGAUGAAAUACAUUGUACCUGUUGAAGGUAAGGACUGGGUAUUGAAGACUAUCAGAGACGCAUGGAGGGUACAUAAAUGCAGAAUUAAGAAAAAACAUUACUAUAGGUGGAAGAAUGACAAAGAAAGGUGGAAACAUCGACCUAAGCAAAUUCCUGACAAUGAGUUCUUGAAAUUAUUGGUUAUGUGGAAAAAUAAAAAUGAGCAGUUACGGUGUUUGCGUAAUAAGGAACGUCGUUUGUCUCAAAAGAACAUGCAUACAGCUGGUCCAAAAGGCUUUGCGAGGAUACGUGAAGAAAUGAGAAAUGAACAUCCAAACAAAGAGCUUCCAUCCCUAGCUGAAGUGUUUGAACGUACUCGCAAAAGAAAAGAGGGAAAAGUGUAUAAAGAUUCAUAUGAUGAUACAUCAAAAAAGAUUGAAGCAAUGAAAAAUUAUGUUCCUCCCAACGAUGGAAGUGGACCUACUGAUGCAUUUUUGGAUACCAUGGGUAAGGAGUAUGAUGGACGUUGAGAAUAUAUGGCAGGGGUGGGACCAAUAAAAAGUUAAAGGAGGCAUAUCGUAGUGACACGUCAUAUGUAGUGGAUGGGGAAUUCAUGAAAUCACUUAAAUCUAGAGUUGUUGAAGAUGUUCAGGAAGAUCUGGAAAAUGAGAUGACAAAGUUAAAUGAUAUGCGAAAAGAUCUAGAAGAAGAGAAUUUAAGAAAAAAAGCGGAGCUCGAAGACAUACAAAGAGAGAUUGAUAGACAAAGGGACACCUUAUUUGAAGAAGUGAUGCGAAAGAUUAUAGGAAGGCUUCCUCCAGAUAUAGCUAGACAAUAUUUGUCAUGACUCAUGAGGUAUUUGGAUGCAAUAUAAUGUGGAAUGGAUGGCAUGCUUGUUUCAAUGGAUAACAUAUCAAUGCGUCAUUUUUUCCCAUCGACAUUUUGUAAAUACUUUUUGCAUCUUCAAGUUGAAAAUAGUGUAGUUUGUAGCUUUGUGUUUCCGGUCCGGGAGAGAUUUGUUUAUGAGCCCGUUAUUCUUAACAUUCUAGCGGUGGAAUGUUCGAUAUGGUAGAGGGAAAUUAUGCCAUAGUUGUCCCUAAUGUUGUUUGGUACUAAACGAAUGCUUUGAGAAGUCAAUUAAGUUUUAAACAUAGCAGGUGAAUAUUUAAUCUUAA